ACCAGCGGAGCUCCGGCGGUUGCCUGCUGUUGCAUCAUCGUCGGCUCUCUUUGUGCCGAAAGAGGGGAACUCCGGAGUCAUGCGGGGCUAAGCACAAAUCCAAGUCUCGAGGAAUCCUCCUAAAACACUUCAUACGGAAGAAGAGCAGCCUGUAAUCAGCGACAGUUGAGAUGUUACCGCACGAUUACAUGACGGAGAAAGCCAGCAAUUUACAGGGCAGCUGCAAAAUACACACGCGUGUCAAAAACAAGUGAACAACAGUGAAUAUCCAAACGGCUUUUACUCUAGAAAAGGUUUUGUUCCUGGUGGUGCACUGAAAGAUUCUCAGCAAACGUGAAACUAUCUUGUAACGUUCCUCCAAGGUUCCCGUCUGGCAACAGUCGCCUUCAGAGAAACACUGAGGAGCACAUAAAACACAACUCUGCAGGGAGCUGUACAGCUUCCAUCUUCAUGUUUAGUUUUCUUGUGAUGAUGGAAUAAUUAUUUUGUCAUUUGAGCUUUGUUUUCCCGGGAUCUUGAUAAACUACAACCUCAGGCCAUAACCACACUAACGAGGACGAAUCCGCAACCACGUCUUCUUCUCUCUCCAUAACUCUCCACGGCGGAUACAGCUGUAAUCGUCAGUCUCACGUUGAAGUGUCGAUGAUGGGGAACGUUUUUUCUCUGUUUUUAUUAACAGAGCAGUGUGUAUAUGAAAGAUUAUCUCCAAACCAAAUUGUUCAUACAGGGAUACAGCCAGAGCAUUAAAAUGAAUACAGAUAAAAAGGACAGUCAAUCAAUAAAAACAGAAAAAUGAAUAAAUGAUUAAAACAAUAGACUGUGUCCACACCGUAUUUAACAAAAAUACUUUCCAAGGCCGAUUUAUUAUUAAAGGUCUCCAAUCACGGAGCCAUGCUGAAGUAGUUCUUGACAAAAAUGACC